UUACGGCCAUAUAAGGUUGAACCACCGGUACUCGUACGAUCCCGGAGUUAAGCAACCUAGAUCAUGGUCAGUACCUAGAUGAGUGACCGCUUGGGAAUACCAGGUGCUGAAA